ACAUUUGUCCUCCAUUCAGAUAACGAUGCCGCCGCAGGCAGAGGCAGGGGCCGUGCUGCCCGUGGUGUCGGCGACGGCAGGGGCGCCGCGCGUGGGGCCGGCCCCUCCUCCCCUGCCCCUGCCGCCGCAGGCCCCUUGGGCCGCCUGCCUCCCGACCUGCGCCAAGCAAUGGAACACCCUUUGCCGCCGGCGCCGGUAGGCCCUUCGGAGCCCCCGACUCCGCCACAGCCUGCGCAGCCCGAGGCCUAGGCGGCGAUCCCGGCGUCAAGCAAGGCGAUCCGAUUCGUGCUGCGGCCGGGCAAGGGCGGCGCCAGCAGCAGGUGCCUGGUGAAGGCGAACCAUUUCAUUGCUCAGCUCACUGACAAGGACCUCCACCACUACCAUGGUUCAUUGCAUGGAAGACCUGCUGAGAACAUGCACAUAGUGUGGAGGACAACCGGGCGUUGCGAUAUCGCGCUCUUUCUUUAUUCCUAGUAGAAGUUACUCACAUGUCUUUUGUUGAAUGACGCUUUCCGCAUUGAUCACCCUCCUGUGCUUUCUAUGAAAUUCAGAGGUCGUGGGACCUUAUGUUGCGUGCUCCUGAUCAGUCUUGAUAAGAGUAUGAGCGCUUUAUCUUGUAUAAUCAUGCCACAGUAUGUUUUUGCCAGAUCAUGUGUUAUCUUUCAGACUUGUACGGUUGAAUCUCUCGAUGGCCGGGCAAUGGUCGCUCCCAAUUCAGAGCAUCCAGGCUCCCACCUCCACCACCUGCGUUGGGCGUCCAAAUGCACCUCCCUCCAUUUGUUCUCGUCACAUCGUUAUCUGAAAUUAAAUUCUGAAUACAUUAUCUGAACUCUGAAUUAGCACUGUUGGUGCCUCUCCUGUCAUGACCAAACUUGCUGAUUAUAAUGCGACUCUUCAUAUGGCAUGUACUCUUUUCUUUGUUCUGGCUGAAAAGCUUUGGCAUGGAGAAGGCUUAAAGCAUGUCUGAUGUUAAUAGCGUGACCCUUGCAACUGUGCCUAAAUCACACAACUGUAAGGAUAUCACAUUUAUGGAGGUCAGCAGUAUAAUUUGUCAAGAUCGUACUACUGUCAAUUUAGAUUAUCACUGCAUGUCAAAAGUACUAAUGUCACUGUCUAUUGCUUCUUAAAAAUGGUCUGUGCUUUUCAUUUCCCUUUAUAUGACUUAAUGCACUGAGAACAGCCUUGAGCAUUGCCAUAUUUAAGCGGAUAUCCUCAGAAUCAGCAGCUUUACAACUAAAAAAUUGCACUACCCAGGCUGCCUAGCCGAACACAUUAAACUAGUCUAGUUGUUGGUCAGUGAUUAUGUAUGUGGUUGGGCAUCCUGUUUGUUUCUGUUCCACCAGGGAAUGCUGAAUCAUACUUGUGCUGUGUAUGAAUUGGCUCUCCCGGCGGUGCUGACAGUUAAUGAUGGAAUGAAGGGUCUCCAUUAUAUAGCAUAUGUCUUCUUUGUUUCCUUCCUUCUUAUUAGCUACAAUGCUCUAAUUCUUUAAUGUGUUUGGAUGAACUCUCCCCUAUCAUAAAGCACAUAUGCUGCUUGAAGGAUUUGGUACAUCUGCACGUCUUGGACUGCAAUGGGCAUCCACUUAUCCAGGCUGAACUGAUUGUCCACCCUUCGUGAUAAAAUGUCGUUUCGUACCAUAGGACAUCUUCAGAAAAUAAAUAAAUGGGCAUCCACAGGACCUGUGAGACGCCCAGCCAUGGGCAAGCUCUACGUCGGCAUCUUAGUUUGAGUACCUUGCCACUGUCACUUAGUUUUUUUGAUGGACCGAUGGAUUGAUUCGCCCCCUGCUGUUUGCUGAGAAUGCCCUCCCAAAGUAUAGAUUUGCAGAUGAUUUCUGUAGAUCUAAUUGCUGUUGUGGCUUCCCUCCUGUUGGAGGGAGCAGCUUCAUCUUCUUGCGCUUGCUGCAUUGUUGUUUACCUCGUUACACUGCCUACGUCGUAUCUUUCUUUCUAGAUAGCAUUCUAGUGUGGUAACAUAUGAUUUACAACUUCCUAUUCAUGAUGCUAUACAAACUUUGAAAAUUGGUACUUUAGUCAAAUGUGCUUCCUCUCUGAACAAAUGUUUCUACUUAUCCAUCCUGGAGACUGAUUGCAUGCUAUCGUAGAUGGGUCUGGGUGUGCAGCGCUGCCUUUGUGUUACUACUACUAUGCAGUUUAGAAACGAAAAACAUGUAAUUGGCUUGAUGCAUUCCUUGGUUUUGCCUUACACACAAAUAUGUGUAACUCUGAUGAUGAGAAGACAAUUUGAUCAUUUUAUUGAUGGUGAUGAUGAUGACGUAUGGCAGAACUGGCUUGAUUAUAUUGAUGAAUUCCUUUCCAGGUGUUCCGCAAGGAUACCAGGACGAUACUCUCUAGGAAGGAGCUGUUCAAGGACACACUCAAGAAGGCUCUGCACGCCUGGAAGCGCAUUGUCGACCUGCGUCUCACAGAGGAGGAAGCAAACUUGCUGAAGCAAACUUGCUCGGCAAGAAAGGAUCCCUCAAGCUGGACGAAUGGGUGCUGUGCCGGCUGUACAACGCGUUUCUUGUGGACAAGCUUGAACGCUUUGAGACGGCCAUUAGCAAACGCGCCGUAGAGAUGGCCAUGGGCACAUACAGAUGUUUUGCAUCAGCCUGUCAUUGCUAAGGAAGAAGCAGUACUUGAAAAAGCAGACUACAUGUUUUCUUGUUGUGAAGCACUAGAUAGUUCUAUUUAUUCUUUCCUGUUCUAGAGUAUUUCAGCAGCUGAAUGCUUGAAUACGUAAUGUUGUAGGUUGCUUGGAUCUGUAUAAAAUACGGAUGUGAUGGAAAUUUGUAGAAUGUGAGUUUUGAGAUA